rnacentral:sRNA from 1 species
GGAGGGGUAAAGAUCCUUGCUGAAAUUUUUGUGAGAGAGGAGAAGUUCUUGCUGCAAAGUGGUGAAAGAGGAGAAGUUCAAAGUUGCUGGAGGUGGAAAAGAAGCCUUGGUUCUACAAGUUUUGAGAGAAGUAGAUUCAAAGAAUUCACAAAGGAAGUCUUCAAGAGAUGGUGGAGAGGAAACUUUGGGAGCAACUCUUGAAGGAGACGGCAGUGCUGCAGCGUAGAUUUACUAGUUUUUAUUUCGUGAACUCGUUUAAUUACAUUUGGUGUAUUUUAAGUUUUAAAUUUUCCGUAAUUUCC